rnacentral:rRNA from 1 species
UACAGAGGGUGCGAGCGUUAAUCGGAAUUACUGGGCGUAAAGCGCGCGUAGGCGGCUUUGCAAGUCGGGUGUGAAAUCCCCAGGCUUAACCUGGGAACUGCAUUCGAGACUGCAUUGCUAGAGUAUGGGAGAGGGAAGUGGAAUUUCCGGUGUAGCGGUGAAAUGCGUAGAUAUCGGAAGGAACAUCAGUGGCGAAGGCGACGUCCUGGACCGGCAUUGACGCUGAGGCGCGAAAGCCAGGGGAGCAAACGGG